UUCCCUUUUAGCUAGGAUGGCCCUUGACACAGUUAUAAGGCAACCUCUUCCCUCCCCUUCCCUUCCCCUCCCCUUCCCCAAAGCAGUUGUGAAUCGGAAAGGGUUGUCUGUGUUUGUGUGUGUGUGUGUGAAAGCAGAAGGUUACAAAUUGUUAUAAAUAGCUAAGGCAAUGUAAGUUUGGGACAUGCUUUGGCAAACCCGACUGAGAAGUUACGUUGAAGAAGUCACUCAACCCGUCCCGUGACUUCUGGAUUUAUUAGGUCAGGAGGAUCCACACUUCGCUUUGCAGAAGGAAAUCUUGGACUGGAGUGACAAGUAGUAAUCUCCUUUCAAAGCCUGGGGCGUUAGAGAUCUGUUUACGCAGCCUUUAUACAGAAGCCUGCGAUACGGAUUUCGAGGGAACCUCAGACCAAGAGAAGCAUAAGAGGUCAAAGUAGCAGGAGGAAGAGCCGCGAGGCCCGGCGACUUGAGUGAAGGAGCAUGGGGUGCACUCCGCGCUGUGCCUUGCUGACGGUGGCAAUCAUCGGGGCCGUGUUGGCCAUCCUGGGAGGAGUUUUGAUCCCGGUUGGAAAUCACUUGAUUGGG